GACGAACGCUGGCGGCGUGCUUAACACAUGCGAGUCGAACGGAAAGGCCCUGCUUUUGUGGGGUGCUCGAGUGGCGAACGGGUGAGUAACACGUGAGUAACCUGCCCUUGACUUUGGGAUAACUUCAGGAAACUGGGGCUAAUACCGGAUAGGAGCUCCUGCUGCAUGGUGGGGGUUGGAAAGUUUCGGCGGUUGGGGAUGGACUCGCGGCUUAUCAGCUUGUUGGUGGGGUAGUGGCUUACCAAGGCUUUGACGGGUAGCCGGCCUGAGAGGGUGACCGGCCACAUUGGGACUGAGAUACGGCCCAGACUCCUACGGGAGGCAGCAGUGGGGAAUAUUGCACAAUGGGCGGAAGCCUGAUGCAGCAACGCCGCGUGCGGGAUGACGGCCUUCGGGUUGUAAACCGCUUUCGCCUGUGACGAAGCGUGGGUGACGGUAAUGGGUAAAGAAGCACCGGCUAACUACGUG
rnacentral:rRNA from 1 species